rnacentral:misc_RNA from 1 species
GGAGAAACUGCUUUAGAAAUGGGUCAUCUGCGAGAUAGCUGUUUAUAUGAACAACAUAAGAUGCUUUCUCUGAUUCAUUAAUGGUGUGUAGAAGAGUGGUUGUCAUGGCCUUGAGGAAAGAUGAAGCAUGCUUUGAUUCCCCUGAUUUUGCAGUAGCUCGACCUUGCAAAUUUAGAUAUGCCCUGAGGAAGCCUUCAAAAUCAAUCUCGCUGCUCAUGUCAGAAAAGG